AACCUAUGGUGAAGGCACCUUCUCAAUAAAUCUUUAUACCUCUCCCAUGCAUCAUAUAGAGCCUCUAGAUCCAUUUGCACAAAGGAAGAGAUAUCAUUCCUCAGCUU
rnacentral:snoRNA from 1 species